GUAAAAGUGACAUUCUCCUUUAUCUUUCAUUUUCAUCCUUAGAUGAAAAUGAAAGAUAAAGGAGAAUGUCACUUUUAC
rnacentral:pre_miRNA from 1 species